rnacentral:misc_RNA from 1 species
AUAGUUUCUAAGGAAUACAUUAAUGAAUGUGUCUCCCCCAUUCAUUCAUGUUGCUUUUUUGCUGUUAUAUUUUGCUAGUCUUUUGAUUAGCUAUGCAGUCAUUUAAUUCAGACUUAGGAGUCAGCAGAAUUAAUACAUAGAGCUUAGUUUGUUGUUGCUGUGUUGUGAUCUAAUUUUGAUUACAUAAACUGAACAUGCUAGAUGUUCUUUUAUGAUCAUAGUGUCAGUUUUGUAUAUUAUGCUUUGUUUGAUUUAAUGCUGUCUUGUUUUGCUAGGAUUGGAUCCUUGUGCUUUCAAUAUUUAUUUAUUUAUUUAUUUAU